rnacentral:rRNA from 1 species
AUGCACGCUGGCGGCGUGCCUAAUACCUGCCAGUCGAGCGAACGGACGAGAAGCUUGCUUCUCUGAUGUUAGCGGCGGCCGGGUGAGUAACACGUGGAUAACCUACCUAUAAGACUGGGAUAACUUCGGGAAACCGUAGCUAAUACCGGAUAAUAUUUUGAACCGCAUGGUUCAAAAGUGAAAGACGGUCUUGCUGUCACUUAUAGAUGGAUCCGCGCUGCAUUAGCUAGUUGGUAAGGUAACGGCUUACCAAGGCAACGAUGCAUAGCCGACCUGAGAGGGUGAUCGGCCACACUGGAACUGAGACACGGUCCAGACUCCUACGGGAGGCAGCAGUAGGGAAUCUUCCGCAAUGGGCGAAAGCCUGACGGAGCAACGCCGCGUGAGUGAUGAAGGUCUUCGGAUCGUAAAACUCUGUUAUUAGGGAAGAACAUAUGUGUAAGUAACUGUGCACAUCUUGACGGUACCUAAUCAGAAAGCCACGGCUAACUACGUG